rnacentral:lncRNA from 1 species
GCAUUUCCUUUUUGACUUGCCUUAGGGAGAGGGAGACCAGCGGAGGCUGGGGGCUGUUGGACUCAUCAAUCUGGGCUAUUAUCAGUGGACAGCAAUGAGAUCCGCUCCACGCAACAAACCUACAACAUUGUCGAGACUUUUCUCAUACAACUGUUCUCUUUUCACGUAAGACAUAGUUUACAACAGACGGUAUCUGGGAAGCAGGGCUUUGAUUCAGAGAGAGCCUUGUGUAUAGGAAUUAAAGUCCAGCAUAUAGCAGGUGAAUACUGGAACCAAGAUGAUAUUGCUCUUAAGGGAUUUUGACACUUUAACACAGACUCUGAUUCCAAAAAAUCCAUGAAUAGACUCCCAUUAAUGACAAAACUCCCUUUGACGUCAACUAGUUUUGGACUUAAUGAGUGGAACUAUGCUAGCAUUUGUUCUAGCAUGUAAGUACAUUUAGAAGUAAACAACCGAG